GCAGAAUGAACAACAGCAAGGAGUCUAUCAGCAGGCUAUAUACCCUUGUAUCCAGACAGGCAGCACCAGGGAAGACUUUUAGCAGGAAUAGCAUUCUUUGAACACCACUUUGCAAGAUGUUGCUAAAAGAAGAAAUCAAGAAUUACAAUUUCAUCAUAAUCACUAUCUUCAACAAGUCUUCUAGAUACAUAAGAGAUGUCCUUUUCAGUAAAUGGCCUCUUGAAAAUUGCUCUGUGAACAUCUAAAGCCUGUGAUUGGAGCUCUUCAAAUGACCAGAAGUCACUACUCAAAAACUUCCUUACCACACAAUUACUGGAUCAUGUGCUUCUCUUGUGCUUCUGUGCUACUCCAGCAUAAUCCAACUUUUGUUUGGGAGAAAACAGAUGUUGUUUGUGUCAGCAACAAUCAAAUCACUAUCUUUUAUGCUCCUCAUUAAAACAAAAGACAAUAAACUUUGUCUUAAAGGUAUAAACCAUAGAGGCAAAAAAAUG
rnacentral:lncRNA from 1 species